AACGAACGCUGGCGGCAGGCCUAACACAUGCAAGUCGAACGGGAUCUUCGGAUCUAGUGGCGGACGGGUGAGUAACGCGUGGGAACGUGCCCUUUGGUUCGGAAUAGCCCUGGGAAACUGGGAGUAAUACCGGAUGUGGUCGAGAGACGAAAGAUUUAUCGCCAAAGGAUCGGCCCGCGUUGGAUUAGGUAGUUGGUGGGGUAAUGGCCUACCAAGCCGACGAUCCAUAGCUGGUUUGAGAGGAUGAUCAGCCACACUGGGACUGAGACACGGCCCAGACUCCUACGGGAGGCAGCAGUGGGGAAUCUUAGACAAUGGGGGAAACCCUGAUCUAGCCAUGCCGCGUGAGCGAUGAAGGCCUUAGGGUUGUAAAGCUCUUUCGUGGGGGAAGAUAAUGACUGUACCCCAAGAAGAAGCCCCGGCUAACUCCGUGCCAGCCGCCGCUGUAACAC
rnacentral:rRNA from 1 species